rnacentral:lncRNA from 1 species
CCCAGUAAGCCAGCUUUUCCUUAAUCCAUUGUCCAGUUUAGCCCUUUAGGGUUCCCGUUUAGUUUCCUUAUGCUUGUAUUUGUUGUAGACAUGCCAGUGCAGACUCCUCUGGCGGGAGAGUCCCUUGAGAGGGCCAAGCAUGUGUUGGGGCUAUCCACCGGGCUAGGUGAUGGCUCCAGCCUGCUUACUCCGGAAAAUCUGGAGAGGCUCGGUUUUUCCACCACGAUGGUGGAUGCAUCCCCCGUUGACGAGGGGGGUGCAGAUGUGGAGGCGACGGGAAACCCAGGUUUCCUCUUAGCUUGCACCUUUGAACUUACUUUCCUGAUAUUCGCUUUAUAAAUUUCCUUCCUGCAUG